rnacentral:rRNA from 1 species
UACGAAGGGGGCUAGCGUUGCUCGGAAUCACUGGGCGUAAAGGGUGCGUAGGCGGGUCUUUAAGUCAGCGGUGAAAUCCUGGAGCUCAACUCCAGAACUGCCUUUGAUACUGAGAAUCUUGAGUAUGGGAGAGGUGAGUGGAACUGCGAGUGUAGAGGUGAAAUUCGUAGAUAUUCGCAAGAACACCAGUGGCGAAGGCGGCUCACUGGCCCAUAACUGACGCUGAGGCACGAAAGCGUGGGGAGCAAACAGG